UCAGGGAAAGCCUUCGGAAUUAGACACGAGCUGCCUCUCAGCCUAGCUACAAAGCGCUCUAGACCUGCCCUGCUCAAUGGAGAAACAGAGCUUGCCUCCCUUCUGAAAUCCCCGGGCUCGGCUGGGCUCUCCUCCAGCCCCGGGAGGGAGGCCUACUUGCUCCCAGAAGUGAGGGGGGCCCCAGAGGAUGCCUGGCUGGAGCUGGGCAUGGCCAAAGGCAGCGCCAUAAGGAAUGCCAGGUUUCCAUUUGAUUAAGCAGCUGAGAGGCAUGAGCGUGGUACUGGUGCUGUUGCCCACAGUUCUGCUUGUGAUGCUCACGGGUGCUCAGAGACCUUGCCCCAGGAACUGCAGAUGCGAUGGGAAAAUUGUGUACUGCGAGUCUCACGCCUUCGCAGACAUCCCCAGGAACAUUUCUGGCGGGUCCCAGGGCUUAUCGCUGCGGUUCAACAGCAUCCAGAAACUGAAAGCCAAUCAGUUUGCGGGUCUCAAUCAGCUCGUGUGGCUCUAUCUGGACCAUAAUUACAUCAGCUCUGUGGACGAGGACGCCUUUCAGGGGAUCCGGAGGCUGAAGGAAUUGAUUCUGAGCUCCAAUAAAAUCACCCACCUGCACAACAAGACAUUCCACCCGGUUCCUAACCUCCGGAACCUGGACCUCUCCUACAAUAAACUGCAAACAUUGCAGUCAGAGCAAUUCAAAGGCCUACGGAAGUUGAUCAUCUUGCACCUGAGGUCCAACUCCCUGAAGACUGUGCCCAUCCGGGUUUUCCAAGACUGCCGGAACCUGGACUUUCUGGACCUGGGCUACAACCGCCUCCGAAGCCUUUCCCGGAAUGCUUUUGCGGGCCUCUUGAAGCUGAAGGAGCUCCAUCUGGAGCACAACCAGUUUUCUAAGAUCAACUUUGCUCACUUUCCCCGACUCUUCAACCUUCGCUCGAUCUAUUUGCAGUGGAAUCGGAUCCGCUCGAUCAACCAAGGCUUGACGUGGACUUGGAGCUCCCUUCACAACUUGGAUUUGUCAGGGAAUGAUAUUCAAGGGAUCGAGCCAGGCACUUUUAAAUGCCUGCCCAACUUGCAGAAGUUGAAUCUGGAUUCCAACAAGCUCACCAACAUCUCUCAGGAGACUGUCAAUGCCUGGAUCUCUUUAAUAUCCAUUACCUUGUCAGGGAACAUGUGGGAAUGUAGUCGGAGCAUUUGUCCCCUUUUUUCUUGGCUUAAAAAUUUCAAAGGAAAUAAAGAGAGCACAAUGAUAUGUGCGGGGCCUAAGCAAAUCCAGGGGGAGAAGGUCAGCGAUGCCGUGGAAACGUACAACAUAUGUGCUGAGAUCCAGGUGGUGGUGACAGAGAAAUCCCAUCAGGCCCCGCAAACUCCCCAGAAGCCUCUGAUUGUUCUCAAACCCACGGUCUCCAAACUGGAAACCACUCAACCGACUCCAAUCACACCGAGCCCUUCCCCGGGUUUUCCGAUGCCUGGCACAGAGCCAGAGUAUGAGCACGUGUCGUUCCACAAGAUCAUUGCUGGCAGCGUGGCCCUCUUUCUCUCUGUGGCUAUGAUCCUCUUGGUCAUCUACGUGUCUUGGAAGCGUUAUCCGGCCAGCAUGAAGCAACUCCAGCAGCAUUCUCUCAUGAAGAGACGCCGGAAAAAGGCCAGAGAGUCUGAAAGACAAAUGAACUCCCCGUUACAGGAGUAUUACGUGGAUUACAAGCCAACAAACUCUGAGACCAUGGAUGUAUCCGUUAAUGGAUCGGGGCCUUGCACAUACACCAUCUCUGGCUCCAGGGAAUGUGAGGUAUGAACCAUGAUCCUCCUAAAAGCAUUUCAGCUGCUGGGAAGGAGAGGGAAAUGUUUGAAGCGCUUGAGGUGUCUCUGAUCACUAGAAAGAUUAAUGAGCCUUUUGCUUUGGGGUUUUGCUCAGUGUGAAAGGUUAUUUAAUUAAAUUACAACCACCAGGAAAGUGACUGUGGUUAUUUUUAAAGGAGUUGAGACUUGAAGGAAGUUCAUUCAAGGAUGAGAUUAAGUUGGAAUAAACCUCCGUGUUACAGCAUCUACUUCUUAAAGUUUGUACAUAGGGGUUGGACUUUUUAAGAACUGUUUUUGUUUCUUUUGUCUUUCUUUCCUUUUUUUUUUUUUUGGUAUGGAUUUGAUGUCUGGUUCUUGGUUUUCUGGUUUGUUUAUUUUUUUUUUAAGAAAUAUGAAUGAAGGAGGGGAUAUGUUAAUAAAAAAAAAUACCAAAAUUGCUGGAUUUGAAGAGGAUAUAAACCAAAGAGAAAUUGACCAAGGGUUGAUUUUGCUGUAAAUGUUUCAGUUUCUAACUUAAGUAGGUAAUAGCUAUGUCUAACACACAGGGAUACCUGCCACUUUCUACUUUCCAUCUCAAACUUUAUACCAACCUAGAGAAUGUCAGGAGUCUGCUCUGCCAGAAAUGCAAGGAGGUUUUAUUAUUAUUAUUAUUAUUAUUAUUAUUAUUAUUAUUAUUAUUAUUAUUAUUAUUAUUAUUAUUAUUUCAAUGUGUGACUUUCCCUGUCAUCAGAAGGGCCUGUGACAUUUUUUUCUGGUUUGUUUUUAAAGGCAUAUUAUGUUUGAGUUUUUGCUAGUUGUCUGGAAUCAGAGGAUUUGUGUACCUGUAACAACAUGUCAAGGGAUAGCCUCUACAGGGCUGUGAUACUAUAGGUGACUUAGCCAUUAUACAAUUCAAGGCAUGAGAUGAACUGUCUGUCAUUGCUGGUGUCAUCCCAGAAAGAAAUGAUGUGAAUUGUUAAUCUCUUUGACUAAAACUGACCACAAAUAACGUUACAGAGAAGGGCAGGGGAUUGAGUUUUGACUAUUUUCUCUUUCUGUACAUUUAGCCUCACCUAAUGUUUCAAAGCGGUGUUUUAAAGGAUUGCCUCUUAGCUUUUGUUUUUAAGGUUUGAGGGAAGAAAUAUUAUCAGUGAUGAACAUACAUUUUGAAUCCUUUAAGUCCUAAGAUAAAUUAUGGGUACAUAAUGAAGACCAGAAAAAAAAAGUUACAGCCCCCUUAGUCCCUGCCCCUAGCUCAUAAUUAGGGAUAUAUUAAUAGUAUUCUAAGACAAAGUUAACCUUAAUACAUGAAUAAUUAUGGUGACACUAUCAUCCCACUACUCUAGUAAAAGGAGGGGCUCAGAACUGGCAGGAGGCUGUCUGAUAUUCUAUUUACAGUUACUUGCCUUUGGAAAAGAGAUUUUCCAUGAGAGUUUUAAGCCAUGUGACUCACAACACCCUCCCCCCAUCCUGCCCACUGUUUCCAUAUCAGCUAAACAAUAUAGUAAAUUUCAUCUAGCUUUUAACUGUCUCUACUCCAACCAGACUUCAAUACUCAAGCUGGUAAGUAACUAAAACACUUUGGGGCAAAUCACUGAAGUUUAAAUAACCUACAAAUUAGCACAAUGAGGACUAUUGAAAAGCAUUUCAAAUGGUGAAUUUUUUAUCUUUCUUUGUAUAUCUGAUACAGUUUGAGAAUCAAUAGGAAACGAGACAUCCAGGUUAUAAAUUCCUAUCUGAAUACUGGGUGGUAAUGGAGGACCUUCUAAGAAGGCCUGCAUUUUGAGCCUUCAUUAGCACUUUAGAAUGCUAACUUUGAUGAAGAACCUCCUCUCUAUUGGUGCCUUAUGUUUUCUACCCACUUAAAUGCUGGGCAAGAUGGAAUGGAAGGGAUGACCAUCCUCUCCACUAAGUUAAUUGGGUAUCCUUGCUUUAUCUAAUGACUGAUGCUUUUUCCUUCCCUUUGGAGAAGUACUUAAUAGGAAGGAAAUUCACAGAGGCAUUUGAAAGCUAGUAGGGACAUUAGAGAUCACCAAGUCCAAUCCCAUCAUUUUACAAUUGAGGCAACUGCAUCUUUGGGAGAGAAAUUGUUUUAGCUAAAGCAAAACACCUGAUUAGCACCACACCCAGGACUAGAUCACAUUUCACUUGCUGUAAUAUCCAUUAUUCUUAUUGUUCCUGUUGUUUUUCAUACUAUGUCUUUCUCUUUCCAAUGCCAAAAUGUGUGAAGAAAUAUUUAUACAGGAAACAUUUAUGUAGAUUUUCUUUUAAUAGAGGGGUCUCAAAGAAACCUUUAUGAGUUGGUAAACCAUUGUUCCUCUCAAAAAAAAUAUCCAUAGUGCAGUAUUUAUGAAGGAAAUACUGGAUAUCAGACAUGCAGAAAACCUACCUAGCUAGAGAGACCAGUUAUGAUAUCAGUAUCUUUUUUUUAAACGUCUGUACUAUUUUUGCUAGAAUGGUUCCUGAAAGAGAAAAACAAAACAAAACAAAGCAAAACUAAUCAUGUCCAUUAGCUAAAUUUAGACAGUCAAGUUUUCUCAUGUUCCUCAUGUUCUAUAAAUACAGUGGGAUUUUCUCAGUUGUUAAAUUCUCUAAGAAACUCAAAGAGUUAUUAAUGCCCUUGAUUGUGCAGAACAUGAAACAGUAUCCAGAAGCCACCACAAAGACACUAUAGGCUAAGAUAAUAUUAUCUUUGAUGCCAUAGUUAAAAGUAUUCACUUUUGAAAAAUGAUUAUAAACCAUAUAGUACUUACAAGUCAAAUUACAGAAAGGAAGAUUAUAGACAUAUAAAUAUAUAUUAUACACACAGAGGUAUAUGUCUCUCUCUCUCUAUAUGCAUAUAUAUACACAAAUAUAUGUGUGUAUAUACAUAUAUAGACAUACAUAUAUGUUUCUACUUUUUCAAUUUGAUUUAUAAGCCAUAACGUACACAUAUGUGUAUAUAUAUAUGUCUUUAUACAUACGUAAAUAUGUAAACAUGCAUAAUAUUUGGCAAUCAUAACUUCUAUUAAAUAGAAAGCAGACAUGAAACAAUUAUUAACAAUGAAUAUUCUGAUGGAAGGAAUUAAAACACCUUAAAAAUAAUAGAUUCCUAAGGCACGAUGUUUGCAGUUAGGGUUGUCACACUGUGGUUAGCCUAGCAGGGUUCCUUACUACUCGUUCACAGAGUGUGACUAAGGAGAGAAGAAGGAAUGUUUAAACAACUCUUCCCUAACUUUAAUGUGUUGAUCGAAAGAAAAAAGAAACUAAAUCGUUACAUUUUCUUGCUUUUUCUCAUGAUAUUUUAUUGAUCUUUUGCUAAAUGGAACCAUCUGACUCACAUCCUGAAGGACUUUUCUUCCAUCCUUAAAUACGUUUACUUAUUUAUUUAUUUAUUUACUUAUUUAUUUAUUUCUCAAUGAAGGGGUCAUACAGAAUAAACCAGUGGCUGCUUCUGUCUCUGAGUGUUUCAUUUUUAAUUUUAUCAUUGAAGCUAAAUCAUUAUAGGAUUAAUGACCUUAAGUAAACCAAGAAAUUGGGGAAAGGAGACAUGGUGGAGAGUACAGUGGAAAGAAUAAAUUCAUCAUCAGCCAGAAAAUCUGAAUUCACAUUCUUCUGCGUUUGUGAUGUGUCAUCUGUAUGACCUUGAGCAAAACUGCUAGGAGACUCCUAAGGACCCCUCUAGCUCUAAGUCUGCAUUCCUAUGAUUUUUAAUCUUUGCUUUUAAAUAAAAAAUACCACGGUAAAAUCUAGGAAAAGAGAAAAUGAAUCCUUGAAAAAGGCACCUUAUUGUAAUCCCUUCAGGGUUAAACAAUGAUAGUUUUAAAAGCUGGUGAAUGAUUCUGUUUUUGUUUUUGUUUUUAUAGGGGUACAUGUAGCUGUAGGUUGAGUUCAUUUGCAUUUCUUUGGGAUUUUAAAUGUCAGCUUGUCUCUAUCUUUAUUGGUUCCAAGAAGAUUGUGACUAUGCAGUCCUAAUCCCUUUUCUAUUCUCUGGCUAGGUGCAAACAAUCCAGUUUCCUAUUUCUCUUGACUAUUUUGUAGACACUUUAGACACUGACUUUUUCCAAGUUCCUGAAUGGCAUCACUUCAAAGGCUUGGAAAGGUCCCACACCAUAUGAAGACGCUGCCCUAUUACAGCUAUGAUCA